rnacentral:rRNA from 1 species
AGUGAACGCUGGCGGUAGGCCUAACACAUGCAAGUCGAACGGCAGCACAGUAAGAGCUUGCUCUUACGGGUGGCGAGUGGCGGACGGGUGAGGAAUACAUCGGAAUCUACUUUUUCGUGGGGGAUAACGUAGGGAAACUUACGCUAAUACCGCAUACGACCUACGGGUGAAAGCAGGGGAUCUUCGGACCUUGCGCGAUUGAAUGAGCCGAUGUCGGAUUAGCUAGUUGGCGGGGUAAAGGCCCACCAAGGCGACGAUCCGUAGCUGGUCUGAGAGUAUAAUCAGCCACACUGGAACUGAGACACGGUCCAGACUCCUACGGGAGGCAGCAGUGGGGAAUAUUGGACAAUGGGCGCAAGCCUGAUCCAGCCAUACCGCGUGGGUGAAGAAGGCCUUCGGGUUGUAAAGCCCUUUUGUUGGGAAAGAAAAGCAGCAGGUUAAUACCCCGCUGUUCUGACGGUACCCAAAGAAUAAGCACCGGCUAACUUCGUG